UGUCACGUACAUUGGGCCGAUAGGAUGUCCCGUAUCUCUCCCGAUCCCUCUUCUCCGUCUUCCUCAUCUCGAGCGUCCUGCGCGAUAGGAUUCCUGGCUGCCGCUGCUCCGCCUCCCGGCAGCAUAUACCCCUUCCCGCCGCCGCCCCAAUGACCUGCUGCUCCGUCCUGACAAAGUUGCACCGCUAUGAGCCCCAGUGCGAUGCUCGACUUCCCUCUGCAGCCUCCGCCUCCUCUUCCCAAUCUGGGCAUAUGCACCGACUAGCAGUGGAGCUCGGGGAGGGGCGGCGGUGCCGGUUCUGGCGCGGGCGAGGUCGAGGUGGGCACAGCGGCGAAGGAGCACAGGUCGAGUGCGGCUAACGGUGGUGCGCUGGUCCGGCUGGGCGAGCUCGAGCCUUGCACGACGGCGGCGGAGCGCGGGUGGUGGGGUCAUCCGUCGAUUACGGAGGUUGAUUUUUGAUACACUUCUCAACUUUUCCAUAUAGUAUUGGUAAUUUAGCUCCUCCCUUAUUUUUAGUUUAUUAAGGAGAACAGGUUUGAACGAAAUGAUAUCACAUUACAAACUGACUUCUUAUUGGCAGCUCACUUUAGUGCAAAGUAGUCAUCCAUUUUUAGCCUAUGAAUUGGUUCAGCAGCUGAAUCCCUUGGUGGGUUACUGUGGCCAGUUUAUGUAAGAAGUUGGCUAGAAGAGAGGGCACCACUUGCGGUGGGUGAUUAGUAAUUUAAGGAGAAUAUUACAACGGGAAUGCGAGCGGCGCGGUGGAUUGGUAUCCACAAUGCUUUUGCCGCGUAUGAACUAGAGGUACAGUUUCACUACAAUAUUGAUGAUAAGUGCAACAUAUUGUGCAAAGGAAUGAAGAUGGUUUAUUUCUGCCUUUGUGGUGUUGUUUCCAUGCCGGUGCCGGUCAAUAUUUGACAGGCUUGUUUUGGCUGCGGAGGGUGUCCUCCCAGAUUUUUCUUUCUCCCCAUGGAUUACAGGGUAGGGGCUGUAGUGGUGGAUGCUUCCUGUCUGUCAUCAUGUGUUGAUGUUGGUGCGAUCCAUUGGGGUUUGGAUUAAGUGCUUUGUGGCUGCCUGGAUGUGGUGCUGUCGAUGGGUUUGUUUUUUUAGAAGAAAAGGGCUCUUGCCCCGGCUCCAUUUGAUUGAAUAAAACAAAGCCAAAUUUUUGUCGAUGGUUUAUUUGGUGUGGGUUAGUGUCUCAGUGUGGUGUUCAUCACUUUCGUGGGUGUUUCGUUUUAUAGGAUGUACCAUCGUUUGAUUUUUGUUAUAUGUUUGGUUGAGGUGUUUACUAAUCUGGUACAUUGUUGUCCAAUGGCUGCUUACAUAUAGGACCUUUACCUACAAUCUCCACGACCGGCCGGACAGCUUCUCUCUAAUUAAGAAGCCUGUCAAAUAUCCGCGAACCUCUGACUUGUGUAAGCUCUCUUUGACAUGGAUCAAUCAAUAAAUACAUGUAUGUCUAGCAUCUUCUUGGGACCAAAUCAACUUCUUAUUUAGGCACACUAUUGUAAAUUCAAUUUACUGUUGUAGAUUUGAUAGAAUCAUUCCGAAUUGGUAUUUUAAGUAUAUAACAACAAAAGAAGUCGUUUUAAAUUUCCAAGAAACUGUUGGCAGUUUGUCUUCUGAAUACAGAAGGGCAUAGGGGAAGGCAAAAUUAACAAUCGCUGAUCACAUAUGUUGUACACUGGCACAACAAAGGGAUUUGCGUUGAUUUCUAUCUAUCUCGGUUCUUAAUUUGUCUAAAAGAUGUGCUAAGAAAUGGAGAUGUAGGCACAUGAGAAGAAGGGACAUAGAGCCUUAGCAAUUAUAAUUAUUUAUUGUAGGGAUGCUUCUGUCACUUAUAACACAAUUAUAUAUCCCGUGAUGCUCAUGUUAUAGGAUUUUUAAUUGCUUCAUGUUCCAUUGAUUUGGCUGGCAACCUCUAUAUGUCAUCUCUGAUGCCACGAGUGGGCUCAUUGGAUUUGGAUACUGAGUUCUAAUUUGAUGACUUAUUUGACAAUUUCAGUUUACUAUUGCUCCCAUGCUCUGUGAUAUUCUUUGAUGUACAAAUUUAAUUUGGCAAUACUCACAUGUAAAACUAGGAUAUUCCUUCAACUGAUCCCAUUUUUACUCUGAAACUGAACAUCAUUUUCCUUAUAUUUUGGCCGGUGUACGCUAGAUGAUGGUAAUUUAGUAUUUAUCUGAUGUCUCCCUUGCUGGAAGAAUUAGCAUCUACUAUUUUAUUUCAGCUAUGUAAGAGCACAUCCAAAUUUACUAUAUAUUCCAGAAAAGUUAGUAACUGCUUUGCCUGCAGAGUCCGUCAAUUGUAAAUGUAGGUCUUAUGGCUAAAAUAUGUGGAUUCAGAAUUUACUUGCCGAGUAGAGUGCCGAUGAUUUGAAGUUGUGAUGCAUUAAGGCAAGGAUCCUUAUUUUUCAUUUGUCAGCAUUCCUGUGUUAUUUCCAUAUUUUUGUUCUUGCGAUUUUCUCAUCUAGAUAAUUUGUUCAGAUCUCAUGAGGUUUGGAAAUUGGCAUCUUUCCAUUGCUUAGUACAGAAGCAUUUUUUAUGGCUGAAUAAAUCUUGGUACUUCUAGGUUUGCCGGGCGGUUUGAGGCCAAUGCCGGUGGUGCCAUUCGUGUUUAGGUGUGCGGCUGUCAGAUUUGGUCUUUCGCUUUGCUAUUGUCACUGUCUUUGUGUCACCUAGGCAGAGUUCGUCCUAUGGUCCCGCUGAUUUUCUUUUAGUUGGUCUUGCUGUUGUGUGGUCAUGUCGUUGUAUUUGGUUGAGCUCUAGGCUAGAUGGAGAGCGGUGCGGCUGGUCAUGUCUGGCACUGUCAGAAGCGCGCUGGUAUACUUGAUUGUGGCCAUACGGCCUUUUAUGUUUCAUCCCUUUUGUAUUCCCGUUGAUAAAAAAGGCGGAGCCACACCUUAAAUUGGCAUGGUGAUGUUGGAUGGCAGUUGGCCAGUCAGUUAGGUUGAUUAUUCAAGAAAUCAAUGUGUGUAUAUCUGACAAAAUGAUAAUCACAGUAAACUAAAAAGCUUAGAGGUUGAGUUUAAAAGAAAGUUCAGAAGCACUGAAGGCUCAUGUUUCUACGGUCAUAUUUAAAGCUCCAGUUCUGAGUGGUGUUUCUGAAAAAGAGAUUAUCAACAUCUGCAUAUGUACCAUGUGUUCAUAAUAGCAUUCAUGUCUCAUUCUUUGUUUGUCAUUAUUUUUCUCUCUGCAUAUUGUGGAGGUCCGGUUCAAAUUAUUGAUAUUUUCAUAUAAAUUUUAUAACUUACCAAACAAGGUCCUAAAAAAGUAGAGCCACAAGUUUCAGAAAUAAGAUGUUUAUAACUAUGCAGACAAGGUUCUGAACUUCUGAUAAAGAAGAUCCAAAAGUUUCAGAAAUAAGGUAGGGAAAAUGAAAGGUAAACCAUGCAGGCAAAUGACUUUGCAUAUCAAAGAACAACUAUUAAUAUGAGUAACUUAUACAUGCACAAUGGUAUGAAUGUCACAAUAAGACUUUACUUCUGCUAUUACCCUGUGUGUUGCUUCAGUAAAUUAAGUUUAUAUGCUUAGCUUGGUCUACAUAAUUUGAGGUUACUAUUUUUAGCCCCCUGAGCAAAUUUGCAGGUCAGCAAUAGGUACGUAUAACAGAAUCCAUUAUGUUUUUCAGAUUCACUCCGAGAACAAGCUGAAUGGAGCUCCGUGGCACCAAAUGCAGUCGUGAAAAACACAAUUUAUAUGCAUACACGUGAUUUAAAAGUGCAUUGUGAACUUCUUAUGCUACAUGUGUUGUUUUUAAAAUUGAUUGAGAUAGUUUAGUGGCCUUACCAUGUUUAACAAUCUCUAACUCAUGAAGGGAAGUCAUGCUUACAAUAGUGUUGAUUGUAAGGUCGAUGAAAAUCUGUCAUGUAUGCUGGACUAUGCUACAUGUUAUUCGUCAUUUUGGCAUCAACAUGCUAUACAAAUUUCUCUUGCUAA